rnacentral:rRNA from 1 species
UAAUACGGAGGGUGCAAGCGUUAAUCGGAAUUACUGGGCGUAAAGCGCACGCAGGCGGUUUGUUAAGUCAGAUGUGAAAUCCCCGGGCUCAACCUGGGAACUGCAUUUGAAACUGGCAAGCUAGAGUCUCGUAGAGGGGGGUAGAAUUCCAGGUGUAGCGGUGAAAUGCGUAGAGAUCUGGAGGAAUACCGGUGGCGAAGGCGGCCCCCUGGACGAAGACUGACGCUCAGGUGCGAAAGCGUGGGGAGCAAACAGGAUUAGAUACCCUGGUAGUCCACGCUGUAAACGAUGUCGAUUUGGAGGUUGUGCCCUUGAGGCGUGGUUUCCGGAGCUAACGCGUUAAAUCGACCGCCUGGGGAGUACGGCCGCAAGGUUA